UCUCCGUAGGUGAACCAGCGGAAGGAUCAUUAUAGUAUAACCGAGCUCCCUGGACUGCCGCUGGCACGAAAGGUAGGGCACGCCCGAGUCCCCUGACACACAUCCAUUUCACCCCUAUGUGCACCACCGCCUCGGUCCCCCUUUCGCGUGCUCGGAGAGGGUCAUACGUAUUCACCCCUACUUUGUAUGCAGUUUAGAAUGUCAAAACUGUUUAUGCUAUCUCUCAUUCAACACAACUUUCAAAAACAGACCUCAUGGCUCACGCAUCGAUGUAGAAAA
rnacentral:misc_RNA from 1 species